rnacentral:rRNA from 1 species
CCUUGACAUACUAAGAACUUUCCAGAGAUGGAUUGGUGCCUUCGGGAACUUAGAUACAGGUGCUGCAUGGCUGUCGUCAGCUCGUGUCGUGAGAUGUUGGGUUAAGUCCCGCAACGAGCGCAACCCUUUUCCUUAUUUGCCAGCGGGUCAUGCCGGGAACUUUAAGGAUACUGCCAGUGACAAACUGGAGGAAGGCGGGGACGACGUCAAGUCAUCAUGGCCCUUACGGCCAGGGCUACACGCGUGCUACAAUGGUCGGUACAAAGGGUUGCUACCUCGCGAGAGGAUGCUAAUCUCAAAAAGCCGAUCGUAGUCCGGAUCGCAGUCUGCAACUCGACUGCGUGAAGUCGGAAUCGCUAGUAAUCGCGGAUCAGAAUGCCGCGGUGAAUACGUUCCCGGGCCUUGUACACACCGCCCGUCACACCAUGGGAGUUUGUUGCACCAGAAGUAGGUAGUCUAACCGCAAGGAGGACGCUUACCACGGUGUGGCCGAUGACUGGGGUGAAGUCGUAACAAGGUAAGCGUAGAUGA